rnacentral:rRNA from 1 species
CCCGCUGAACUUAAGCAUAUCAAUAAGCGGAGGAAAAGAAACUAACAAGGAUUCCCCUAGUAACUGCGAGUGAAGCGGGAAGAGCUCAAAUUUGAAAUCUGGCGGUCCCUUGGGCUGUCCGAGUUGUAAUCUAGAGAAGUGCUACCUGUGCUGGACCGUGUACAAGUCUCCUGGAAUGGAGCAUCACAGAGGGUGAGAAUCCCGUCUUUGACACGGACUGCCAUGUGCGAUAUGGUGCGCUCUCGAAGAGUCGAGUUGUUUGGGAAUGCAGCUCAAAAUGGGUGGUAAAUGCCAUCUAAAGCUAAAUAUUGGCGAGAGACCGAUAGCGAACAAGUACCGUGAGGGAAAGAUGAAAAGAACUUUGGAAAGAGAGUUAAACAGUACGUGAAAUUGCUGAAAGGGAAACGCUUGAAGUCAGUCGCGUCGGCUGGAAAUCAGUCUUGCUUCUGCUUGACGUACUUUCUGGUUCGACGGGUCAGCAUCAGUUUUGACCGCCGGAUAAAGUCGUUGGGAAUGUGGCAUCUUCAUGAUGUGUUAUAGCCCGUCGCCGCAUACGGUGGUCGGGAUUGAGGAACUCAGCACGCCGCAAGGCCGGGUCGUUUCGACCACGUUCGUGCUUAGGAUGCUGGCAUAAUGGCUUUAAUCGACCCGUCUUGAAACACGG